UUUUUUUUUCUUUCUGUUCAGGGCUGAGCGUCCAUGCUCACUGAGUGAUUUCUAGAUGGGACCACAGGCUUCCCCAGCCUAGCAAACAGGGCGGCAGUCUGUACUUCAUGAGGCAUGGUGAUGCGGCCAGUUACCGCCUAGGAGCUCGAGGCUUGUUGAGAGAGCCGCUGCUCAGGAGUUUGUGGCCUUGUGGUGCCUGGAGAAGGGGCAUGGAGGGAAAGGCUGGAAUGGCAAUGGGAACACUUUACCAAGGCGUUACCAAGUCUUGAAGGAAGAAGUUGUGGAACUGGAUCAGAAUAGGUGUGCUGGCUAGUUUUGUGUUGGUUUGACAAAAGCCAGAGUGACUUUGGAAAAGGGAACCUCAACUGAGAAGACGCACCCCCCCUUCCCCGCCGAACUGACACGUGGGCAAGCCUGUGGCACAUUUUUGUUCAUUGAUGUUUGAUGUGGGGGGGUGCACAGGUCACUGAUCCCAUGGGCUGCUGAUCCUGCCUGCUGCAAGAGAGCAGGACGAGUGUGCCAACAGGAACAAGGCAGUAAGAGGCAUCCAUCCCUCCACGGCCUCUGCAACAGUUCCCAUCUCCAGGUUCCUGCCUUGAGUUCCUGCCUUGAGUUCCCUGGAUGGGGAUGGAAAUGAAGUCUUUCCUAUCCAGGUGGCUUCUGUUCAUGUUUUAUCACAGCAAUAGAAACCCUAAUAGGCA